GGCCCACCACAUCCGGAUGUUUGGGCGUAAGCGUCCGCAGGUGGUUCGUUAAGUCACUGGUCAAAUCUCUGGGCUCAACCCCGAGACUGCUGGUGAUACUGGCGGACUUGAGGCCGGCAAAGGUAAGCGGAAUUGCAGGUGUAGCGGUAAAAUGCGUUUAUAUCUGCAAGAACACCAAAGGCGAAGGCAGCCUACUGGAACGGUCCUGACACUCAUGGACGAAAGCGUGGGGAGCGAAAAGGAUUAGAUACCCUUGUAGUCCACGCUGUAAACGAUGUGUGCUGGAUAUUAGAAGUAUCGACCCUUCUAGUGUCGUCAAAAAAAGCUAACGCGUUAAGCACACCGCCUGGGGAGUACGGCCGCAAGGCUAAAACUCAAAGGAAUAGACGGGGACCCGCACAAGCGGUGGAACAUGUGGUUUAAUUCGACGGUAAACGAAGAACCUUACCAGGGCUUGAAAUGUUUGGAGUAUGUUCUCCGAAAGGAGAGCGGACCGUUAAAUCGGAUCCAUUCACAGGUGCUGCAUGGUUGCCGUCAGCUCGUGCCGUGAGGUGUACCCUUAAGUGGGGUAACGAGCGCAACCCCUAUGCUGUGUUGUAAUUUCACAGCAGACUGCCUCGGUUAACGAGGAGGAAGGCGGGGACGACGUCAAAUCAGCAUGGCUCUUACGUCCUGGGCCACACACGUGUUACAAUGGCAGAUACAAUGGGUAGCCAAGCCGCGAGGCGGAGCUAAUCUCAUCAAAGUCUGUCUCAGUUCGGAUAGAAGUCUGCAACUCGACUUCUUGAAGCCGGAAUCGCUAGUAAACGCCGGUCAGCUAUACAGCGUUGAAUACGUUCUCGGGUCUUGUACUCACCGCCCGUCACACCAAGAGAGUCGGUAAUACCUGAAGCGGCCCUUUGGGGUCACCAAGGUAGGAUCGAUGAUAAGGUG
rnacentral:rRNA from 1 species